GACGAACGCUGGCGGCGUGCUUAACACAUGCAAGUCGAACGGAAAGGCCCUGCUUUUGUGGGGUGCUCGAGUGGCGAACGGGUGAGUAACACGUGAGUAACCUGCCCUUGACUUUGGGAUAACUUCAGGAAACUGGGGCUAAUACCGGAUAGGAGCUCCUGCUGCAUGGUGGGGGUUGGAAAGUUUCGGCGGUUGGGGAUGGACUCGCGGCUUAUCAGCUUGUUGGUGGGGUAGUGGCUUACCAAGGCUUUGACGGGUAGCCGGCCUGAGAGGGUGACCGGCCCCAUUGGGCCUGCGAUACGGCCCAGACUCCUACGGGGGGCAGCAGUGGGGAGUAUUGCACAAUGGGCGGAAGCCUGAUGCAGCAACGCCGCGUGCGGGAUGACGGCCUUCGGGUUGUAAACCGCUUUCGCCUGUGACGAAGCGUGAGUGACGGUAAUGGGUAAAGAAGCACCGGCUAACUACGUG
rnacentral:rRNA from 1 species